rfam:Helianthus annuus linkage group 8, whole genome shotgun sequence.
AUGCUAUGGCGAGGAAACUUAUUGAGAAGUGCUUUGAAGCAGUCCCAUGUGUCAUAGAAAGACUCCCCAGGCUGCUCGGUAAAAACAUAGAUUAUGUUCCUAAGGUG